AAAUAUGAAAAAUUCAAGAUAAAGCUUCUAACUUAAAUCUUUAGCAGUGUAACUCUGUUAAUAUUUCUA
rnacentral:tRNA from 1 species